AGCAAAAGGCUCUUGGAGGAUAAGUAUGGGGGCACUGCUGAGUGCUGUGUGCCUUAAGGCAACCAAAGAUGCCACGGAAUCCUUGAAUAUCCCAAGAUGGAAAGGACCCGUAAGGAUCAUUGAGUCAAAGCUCCUGCCCUGCCCAUGGCUGACACCCAGCAUAGCCACUGUCCCAUGCAGCUGUUACCUUCCACAGAUCCUGCUUCAGGAAGGAAACCUUCCCCUGGUAUCCAGCCCUGCGGGCCCGGUACCUGGCAAGCCACAGCAGCCAGGGGUUGAGCUCGUAGCCGACAGCUGGCCGGAGUCCUUGCUUGUAAGCUUCAAUCACGAGUCGGCCGUCCCCGGAGCCCAGAUCUGCCGUCUUCCCCGUGCGGCCUCGCAGCAGUCCCAUCACAUUGGCCACUUGUUGGGCACUGGAUGGCACAUACGGCACCUGCAGAUGCAGCGGCACCCGGCGGAAGCCAGGCAUGAGCACAGCAGCCCACACUGCAUAGGCAGCCAGGCCGGUGGUGGCUGCCAGCUGCAGCAGCCCGCGGCCCCCCAGGGCCUCCCCCUGCAGCUGCCCCGCCAGCUCGUCCAGCGCCUCCGCGUCCAUUGCUGCCGGAAGGGGCGGCCCCGAGAACACCCGGGCCUUCCGUUGCCUGCAUGGCCACGCGCCCGCUGGGUGCCUUUCACCCACUGCUCGGCUGCCAGCACCGAGGCUUUGGCUGGGGCUGCUGAAGGUGGCAGCUCCCGGCGUGGUUGUGCACGCUUUGCACGCUUGUGCAACUAAUGCAUGCUUGCACACGCCCACGCGUGCUUGCACGUGGUUGUGCACGGUUGUGCGUCCACGCUUGGAGCUCGGUUAGCUCCCCACUGCCGCUGGCCCCGUGAGGCUGUGGGAAAAUUCCAGCCCGCGGGUCGCAGCGGGGGACCCGUGCCCACCCUCAAUUAAAACCCAAACCCGGGAACAAUACCACAUCAAUUAGGGGAGCGGUGCACAAAGGGCAGGCAGCUUCCCAGCCCUGUGCCGGCGGUUGCUGACGCAUCAUCGCACCGCACGUCCUACGGCCUCUGCCUUCCUCCCUAUAUCCCCCAUGCCCAUAGUAACGAUUUUGGGGUGGCUCCCAGCACCCUGACCCCAAGAACCUGGGGCCUACCCCGAAUCCUAAGGGGAACCCCGUGUCCCUGUGAUGGGGUGACAUUGCUGUGCUCCCAGGGGCUGCUCGGUGUCAUUCAGCCCCCAUUAAGAACGUGUCCCAGGGCAGUGAUGGGAACGGGGCACACCAUGGGGACAAAAGGCCAUUUUUAAUAUUGAUAUCUAUUUAUAUUUGCAUAAAUGAAUCACCUCGUGCCAUGUGGGUAAACAUUCUUCAAAACCUCCCUGCUGUUUAUCCACAAGGAGAAAUCACUCAUGGCCAUGUCCCUGUGCAGCACCACUGCAUGGCAUGGGGCUCAAUGGCAGCGGGGGGGCGGUAGGAGCUUCCCCCCCCCAGUGCUAUGAGACAGCCCUAGCGUGGCUGCAGCCAAAUGAGACAUGGGGAUCACUCUGAUUUUCCGCGGCUCGCUGGCAGGUGGAGCCAAUUAGGCUGAGAGUGAGCAGAAAAUCAAGGAAAUAGGAUCCAGGGGCUCAGGGCUGGGGGUUUGGGCAGCACAGGGAGGGGAGGAGGAGGGGGAAAACCCCAGGGUGCAGCUUGAGCACCCCAGGAUGCCAGAGGGAGGGUGAUGAACGAAGCCAUUCCCACACACAGGGUGCUGGGGGUCGUGGCGUGGUGCUGGGCUGAGCAGGUGGCCAUGCGUGGGGAGCGUUGGAGCCCCGGUGCCUCUCAUCCCUCGUUGCUCCCCCCGUCGAGGCUGCGGCGGCUGCAAAGCGGCUCCAAGAGCUGGGAAUUUGUCACCAUGCUCUGGGAAAGCUCCUUCCCACCAGCUGUCAGCAUCGCCAGGGGUCCCGGGGGUCGGAUUUGGUGUGGUUAAAGCUGGAGGGG
rnacentral:lncRNA from 1 species